GAAAGAUGGAAGUCCCCAUGGCCAUGCCACCUCUAAGAUGUUUUGGGGCUACCUCACCAAUAUACAGAGGCUGCACACAGAUCCCAAUACCUACGAUGAGAAAGUAGGAAAAGAAAACAUGCUGCUAUAACUCACCUGCCUAGCCGAAUCGCCAUGCUGCCUCCAAUAAAGGCUCCACACAGGCCUCCAAGUGAAAAUACAGAAGCAAUGACAGACCAAAGAAAAGUCAGCAAGUCUGGACUUAGUUCCUUGUGAUAACGACUGGUCCAGGUUUCAUUUAAGAACCUGUGUAUAUGCUGCAGUAGAAAAUGAUGAAUGUGUAGCAUUAUGCAUGGCCCAACAGCGCGGCACUAUAAAUAACUUUCACCUCAGCCUGAAAACCAAUACUGGGAGCUAACAUGAUACCAUCUUAGCUGGUGUUUUGGUUUUGUAUUACCAUUUCCUACGCCCCAUACAUCUCAGACUGCCGAGCAGCUUUGCUUUCAUAUCCUAUCCCUGGAGAGGCUGUGUUCCACUAGAGGGGAAACACAACCUGCCCACACUGCUCCAGAAGAGCACUGAGGUCCUUCUAAAUGAAGGGGGGGACAAGGUGGAUGAGUAGGUUCUACUGUCUUUUAGGAACAUCUCAGAGCACAGAGGUCUCACAUAACCUAAAAAAAUUUUACUGUCAGAAGACUCAUUCUGAUGCUCGAUUUAAAUCUUCCUGACUUAGCGCCAUCCAACAACCCAUAGUAAAAUCGCUUUCUGCAACUCUAAUAUUUCUCUACCUUUCUUACCGUAUAAAUGUGUCAAAACUUUUAAACUGUCAUUUUAGAUGCUUUGUUUCCUAACAUUUGUCUUGCUAAACUCUUGAACUGACAUGUAUCUGUAAUUAGAGGCUCCCAUUCUUAGCCAGCAAACAAAGACUUAACAGAAGAACAAACUUGCUGGACUCUCCCUCUACUUCUAGCAUAUUACAUGUUCUUUCACAAACAGCUCAUUUUAAACUUUGUAAAAAGCAUACAAUGUUGUAGCAAAUUCAGCCUUCACAGUUUCACAAGAAAAUAAAUCAGCUGACAGCAGAAAAUUAUACCCACCACUUUCACAAGACCAUCUGCUUAGAUCCUCGAGUCAUCCACAAAAUAUGCAGAAUCCUCAAGGCCACGGCAAUGGAUAAAAAAAUAACAAGUAGGUGAAGAUACCUACAAGACACUCAGACACUACAGAUGCAACUUUCUGACUCUCUAAGGUCUUCCUCAGUAAGCUGCCUCGUGAUGGACAACUGUAACCCUCCUUUCUCCCCGUUACCCAGCAAGAGGACGCAAGCGAAUGGUUCACGGCUGCGUCAGGGAGGUUUAAACUUGACAUUAGGAGAAACAGUGGUGACACCUUACAGAGAGGGUGAUCAAACCCUCAACAGGCUUCCUAGAUAAGUGGCCAAUGCCCCCACCCUGUCUGCGUUCAUAAGAGGCAUUUGGACAAUGCCCUUAAUCAUCUGCUCUAACUUGUGGCCAGCCAUGAUAUGGUGGGGCAGCCAGACUAGAUGAUCACUGUAGGCCCCUUCCAACUGAAAAUGUUCUCUUCCGGUCUUAAUGUUCUGGGCUAUGGUAGUCAAAGGUGUAACUGGAAGAGAUUACUUAUCCAUUCAUUCAGUUAAUCCUUCUAAACCACUUUAACAGGUAUUUAUGUUGCAUAUCUGACACAGAAUACCUCUAAUGGGAGGUACUCACAAACAAAUCCACAUGAAACCAUUUUGGAAAUCAACCAGAAUCCUCCACAGGAGAGCAAUCCUGCUUUGGUUCCACUGCAAUCGCAGUACAAGUGCCUCUGGCCUCUUGGCCAGCCAGCCAGGAUACCUACACCACCCCAAAACAACCUGCACACAAGAGACAGCAUUUUACCUGGGUGGGUGCAUUGAUAAUGGAAACAUUAUACCCAUACUGGAAGGUCCCUCCGAUUCCAACAGCACAAACAGCCAGAAACAAGGUCCAGCUGGGGAACUAGAGAACAGAAGAGAGAACAGGCAUGAAGAGAGAGAGAGGGCCUUGAACCCACAUGCAUAUAUUAUCUAGGAGAAAAUCACAGUGAAAUAUAUAAUGAUUUUAGCUUUGAACACUGAAAGUAUUUGUUGAGAAAACUACAUAAACUCUCCAACACCUGCAGCAGGAGAAACAUUUCACACUGACUUUGGCCACAAUCACUAAGGUCUGUGAGAGAUGCGACAAGCAUCCAGACUAAGCACAGGCGACACAACCACAGCACUGCCGACAGCAACUCACUGACCUUUGUCAAUGCUUUCUGUGUGAACCACGCUGCUCAUGGUGUCUAUUUUCUAUGAAAGAACGUUAUGAGUGGUUAUGUUUGAUUUUAAAGGUCCAAUGGUUCAGUGUAAGAAUUAACCAUAUCCCAGUUUCUGGCUCACAUUUCAUCUAAGAUGUGAGAAAUAAUAACAAUAUUUUAUUUCCCCUGGCAAGUCCCUAAAUUGAUUACCAGAUGUCUGCAAGUUAGCAGGUACUAAACCUUAAAUCAAAACACUUUUUUCACCAUUAACAGUAUUCAAUCUAAACUUCAUUGGCAUGUAUUUUUCAAUUUUCCAAUAUUGAUUAACUAGUUACGUCCCUAAAUCAGUAUUUAGGAACUAAAAUUUACUUCAACUCAGACGUUUUAAGGUCAACAGAAACCACUAUUAUGAUACAUUCAAUCUCAAGAGAGUCUAAUUGGUCAUAAAACAUUACACUCAGGAUGAGGCCUCUGGGCCAGAGAAAAUCUCUAGAGGUUUAUACAGUGUCUGGCUUUCUGAUGGGAUGCUUCCCGGCUCUACUGUUUAUUGAAUAUGACAGUACUAAAAAUAGCAGCCAGUUCAAAUGUUUCACAACCCUCUCAGUAAAAAUCAGGUCCUAGUUUCAUCACAUAGCAUCUUUUAUGCCCAACUUCAGCUGCACCCAAUAAUGUCUCCUAUAUUAAAGGCAUUUCUGUGAUCACAUUCCAUCUUCCUUCACAGAUGAAGACCGUAUAUAAUUUUUUUUUUUAUAACCUUGUACUCCCUAAAUUUCUCAUUGUAAGGUAUGCAGACUAGUUCAUCGUUCUCAUUCUUGGUCCAGUUCCCAGAAAUGGUGAGUUAUUCCAGAUGCUCCACUGUACUCUGAAAGAGCUGUGUCUUUUGUGAAGAUACUUCUUCAAAGCUUCCCCAUUCAGAAGUCAAAAUUGAUCUUAUUACAGUAAAAUGCAUUUAAUAUUUUCUUAUGGUUUCCUGAGAAUAAACUGUUUCGCUGAACAAAUUUCUCUGAAGAGUAAUAAAUAAGGGCUGCAGCAAGUAUGGUAGAAAAAAACUAGAGGUGGUAAAUAAAGACGCUGCACACUCCGACCUUUCUAUUAACCAAAUACUGCCAGUCAGUGUGUUUUGUGUGUCGAAUGGCUACAACCUGGAAUCUAGAACAGACAGAAGAGAAACAAAAGCUCCCAGAAUCAUUAACAUACAUCACAAUUUAUGUUUUGUUACGACAGCUCUGUUCCUCCUGCCCAAAUCAGUCAGCUCGUUACAGUAACGUGUUACAGUGGAGUUUGGGCCCCGAUUUCUUAAGAGUGUGGACAACAGCCUUAUCUGUUCUGUGAGUUACUUAACUCCUGGCAGCUUAUAAGCACUUUCACCUCAUUUUAGAGCCAUGCCACAAACCAGAUUCAGUUUAUAUUUAAUGUGAAACACAAGAAUAAAAAAAUGUGUGUUUACAGUCACUAUUUUGUAACACGGCAGGGCGUCUAAGGAAAACACAGAACUUCACAAGCCUGAUCGUCUUUUUGAAGUAAACAGGAAACAAUUGGAAAUUUUCACAUCCGUGCAUCACUUAAAGCUACAAACUCCGCCGGGCUCCACACGGCCCGCAGAGGCCGAGACAGCUCCGCUUACCUUGGCGUGCGCGCUAAAGCCUCCGAGCAGGGGCCGGUACUCCAUCCCGAGUACGGGCUGGCUUUGAUUUCCUUGGCAAAAAUUUAGUAAACUACACUACAGGAAUAAAAGGCGCCAAA